rnacentral:rRNA from 3 species
UGCCUGUUCGAGCGUCAUU